GAUGAACGCUGGCGGCGUGCCUAAUACAUGCAAGUCGAGCGAACGGACGAGAAGCUUGCUUCUCUGAUGUUAGCGGCGGACGGGUGAGUAACACGUGGAUAACCUACCUAUAAGACUGGGAUAACUUCGGGAAACCGGAGCUAAUACCGGAUAAUAUUUUGAACCGCAUGGUUCAAAAGUGAAAGACGGUCUUGCUGUACUUAUAGAUGGAUCCGCGCUGCAUUAGCUAGUUGGUAAGGUAACGGCUUACCAAGGCAACGAUGCAUAGCCGACCUGAGAGGGUGAUCGGCCACACUGGAACUGAGACACGGUCCAGACUCCUACGGGAGGCAGCAGUAGGGAAUCUUCCGCAAUGGGCGAAAGCCUGACGGAGCAACGCCGCGUGAGUGAUGAAGGUCUUCGGAUCGUAAAACUCUGUUAUUAGGGAAGAACAUAUGUGUAAGUAACUGUGCACAUCUUGACGGUACCUAAUCAGAAAGCCACGGCUAACUACGUG
rnacentral:rRNA from 1 species